ACACGUGAGUAACCUGCCCUCCACUUCGGGAUAACCUCGGGAAAUCGUGGCUAAUACCGGAUAUGAGCACUCAUCGCAUGGUGGGUGUUGGAAAGAUUUAUCGGUGGGGGAUGGACUCGCGGCCUAUCAGUUUGUUGGUGAGGUGAUGGCUCACCAAGACGAUGACGGGUAGCCGGCCUGAGAGGGCGACCGGCCACACUGGGACUGAGACACGGCCCAGACUCCUACGGGAGGCAGCAGUGGGGAAUAUUGCACAAUGGGCGAAAGCCUGAUGCAGCGACGCCGCGUGGGGGAUGACGGCCUUCGGGUUGUAAACCCCUUUCAGUAGGGAAGAAGCGAGAGUGACGGUACCUGCAGAAGAAGCGCCGGCUAACUACGUGCCAGCAGCCGCGGUAAUACGUAGGGCGCAAGCGUUGUCCGGAAUUAUUGGGCGUAAAGAGCUUGUAGGUGGCUUGUCGCGUCUGCCGUGAAAACCGGAGGCUCAUCCU
rnacentral:rRNA from 1 species